rnacentral:rRNA from 1 species
GGCAGGGUGAGUCGACCCCUAAGGCGAGGCCGAAAGGCGUAGUCGAUGGGAAACAGGUUAAUAUUCCUGUACUUGGUGUUACUGCGAAGGGGGGACGGAGAAGGCUAUGUUGGCCGGGCGACGGUUGUCCCGGUUUAAGCGUGUAGGCUGGUUUUCCAGGCAAAUCCGGAAAAUCAAGGCUGAGGCGUGAUGACGAGGCACUACGGUGCUGAAGCAACAAAUGCCCUGCUUCCAGGAAAAGCCUCUAAGCAUCAGGUAACAUCAAAUCGUACCCCAAACCGACACAGGUGGUCAGGUAGAGAAUACCAAGGCGCUUGAGAGAACUCGGGUGAAGGAACUAGGCAAAAUGGUGCCGUAACUUCGGGAGAAGGCACGCUGAUAUGUAGGUGAAGUCCCUCGCGGAUGGAGCUGAAAUCAGUCGAAGAUACCAGCUGGCUGCAACUGUUUAUUAAAAACACAGCACUGUGCAAACACGAAAGUGGACGUAUACGGUGUGACGCCUGCCCGGUGC